rnacentral:rRNA from 1 species
CAGCAGCCGCGGUAAUACGUAGGGUGCGAGCGUUAAUCGGAAUUACUGGGCGUAAAGCGUGCGCAGGCGGUUGUGUAAGACAGGUGUGAAAUCCCCGGGCUUAACCUGGGAACUGCGCUUGUGACUGCACAGCUAGAGUAUGGCAGAGGGGGGUGGAAUUCCACGUGUAGCAGUGAAAUGCGUAGAGAUGUGGAGGAACACCGAUGGCGAAGGCAGCCCCCUGGGCCAAUACUGACGCUCAUGCACGAAAGCGUGGGGAGCAAACAGGAUUAGAUACCCCCGUAGUCCCUGUCUCUUUACA